CUAACCUAAGUAACCUUAGGUUAGUCAUUGCCCCCUCUGAGACUUUCUCUAGCCAAAUGGGAUCAGAUUAGAUCACCACUAAGGUUCUCUCCCUAACAUUUAGUGAUGCCACUGUUGCAGUGUGUGGCUUUAACAUCAUGAGGCUACACCAAGAGCCAGUUCUUCAACUUGUCCUGCAAUCAGAAAGGCCCUACUGGUUGUCCUAUGACAGAAGCCCAGCAGCUGGGGAUGCCCUUUCCUCUCUAACCUCUGGAAAGACUGACCACCAUGCCUGCGAUUCAUAUUGCCUGCUGCUAUAUAAAAACUUCUGGUGUCAGUCUUCAUCUGCUGGGGGGAAAAUCACUCUCAGAAAGAAACACCCUCUCCUGCCAAGGCUUUGGGUGGGGCUCCGAAAGUUGUUUAUGACAACACUGAGUCAGCACAUUCAUCAGGGUCAAGCUCACAGUUGGAGAGGACUGGAAGAGGGCCUUAGUAGAGAAGAAACCUCCAGCUGAGGCCUCCUCAGUCUCAAAGGGAAUGGAAUCAGAAUCCACGAAUUCAUAAUGGAGAUUGGCAGACAGGUGAUGACAGUGCAGGCACAGCUGAUGGGGACUGCAGUCAAGUUGAAUGGAACCCAGUGACACAUAAGCCCUCCCUCCUGAGUGCUUCCUCACCAAAAUCACGCUUUGCUUUUUCACACAACAUAUAUUUAUUCAGAAAAAAAAUUUGCAAUAAAUUAUAAUAAAAAAGAUGACAUGAAAUAUAGAAUCCCACUAGCAGCUUUGCUUAGUGAUCAAGACGUUUUUGGGAAAUAUAACAACAAUUACAGAAUAAGAAAACAGUGAAAGGGAAACUAAUGCAAUGUCACCACAUGGAUUUGAACCGUUUCUUCCCUAGACAGCAGGUGCAGAGUUUUUCUCUACCAGGUGAAUCUGAAAUCCUUACUUCAGAGCAGCUACAAAUUAAUACCUUAGAGGACUUGGGGAUUACAGGUUGGGUGCUGGAAUAGGUGUGGCAGGGAUGCAGAUCUCUUCUGUCUGGGUCUAUGUCUUGUCUCCUCUACCUAGAGAUUGUCAAAAACUCUCAACCCUGUGUAUGUUCCAGGAUGAGCUGAAAAAAAGCUGAGGCAGUACAUCAACUUAGUGUUUUGACCUUAUGGAGAAACAGAUUGGAUACUGCACACGUGCAGCAAAGCCUCCACUAACCACACCCUUGAUCACCCAAAGAUCCCAGGUCAGCAAUAUGCUAGAAAACAAGCCCAGGAAAGGUAUUUCCCUGUGGUAUGACCUGACCCCAGUGUCUAUCAUCUGCCUCUUUUUGUGAUCACUUUCUGGCCUUGCGGAGAUGACUAAUCUGUUCUGCUCUCAGUCAUCCAUUAACUAAGUUCAACACCCAGCCCCUGACCUAUCGUAUCUCCAGCCCUUUGGCAACAGUUCCUUGACUCCUAUUGCUUUAACUCUCAAUCAGGAGAGGGUUUAGCCAUAUUGCAGAAUCCGUACUUUUUUUUUUUUUUGCUACAAAACUCAACUUUGAAGAGGUGGGGGAAAUAAUUCACUGGUGAUGUCUUGGAUAUGCUAGAAACGUCAUGGAGUCAAUGCCCAGGAUCGCACAGAGAGCCUGUAGCUUAUGCUCCUUGCAUUUAAUGUUAACAGGCAAGGGUGGUUGUAACAAAAGAAAACCAGGAGGAAGCCAACUGCAUCAGGCAGUUUUGCAGUCAGUGGCUGGUGGCUUGUCAAACAAAAUAGAUUAACUUUUUUUAAAAGGCUGUACCACAGAGCUUGAAUAAAUGACAAGCUCAGAGAAUCAUCUUGGAUGGGAGAGAUAACGUGCCUGGUUGGUCCUGUUGGCCAGUCUCUUUACAGAACACUGGAUAUGGUGACUAGGAGCCAAGAUGAGUCUCUAAACCCUUUACAUGCAGGAGCUGGUUAUAGAGCCCAGAGUCAGUCCUGCUAAGAGAGGAGGUGACAUCUGCCCUUACUACUUCAGAAGACCAGAGAAUGAAUUCUAAGGGUCAUCCGCAAUACCUUUGCUGUGGGAAGGAGCAAUAGCUCUAGAUGGGCCUGCCUGAGAUGCAAGACUCCCUCUACUAUGGGGCCAGUGUUGCUCUGGAGAUAGAUGUCUAGGCAGGAGAUGGGUCUCACAGACACCCAGGAUUAGUCCUUGUGUAA